UAGGCAGAAGCCCUCUGGUUUGGGCGGCUAGCUGUUAAUUAGUUAAUUACGGGAUCGAGGCCCGUCUGUCUAGG
rnacentral:tRNA from 1 species